UGCUUUUUGAUCUGGCUUGUGUACCU
rnacentral:piRNA from 1 species